AUGAAUUUUAAACAACUUGAUCAUGGGCAUGUUGCCCAAUCUUGGGAAAGAAUGAAAUUAAUGAUUCGCAAUUGCCCUACUCAUGGUUUGAACUUAUGGAUGAUCAUACAAAAUUUUUAUGCCGGAUUGAAUUUUGCUUCUAGAAAUCUUUUAGAUUCGGCCGCGGGAGGCACUUUUAUGGAAAUCACCUUAGGAGAAGCUACUAAACUCCUUGAUAACAUUAUGGCUAAUUAUUCUCAAUGGCACACCGAAAGAUCCACUAGUAAAAAAGUGCAUGCUAUAGAAGAAAUUAAUGUUUUGAGUGGAAAGACGGAUGAACUUAUGAAAUUGUUUGCUACUAAGAGUGCUCCUAUUGAUCCUAAUGAUAUGCCUUUGUCUACUUUGAUUGAGAAUAAUAAUGAAUCUAUGGAUGUGAAUUUUGUUGGUAGGAAUAAUUUUGGUAACAAUGCUUAUAGAGGAAACUUUAAUCCUAGACCGUUUCCUAGUAAUUCCUCUAAUAAUUAUGGUGAUUCCUACAACAACUCUUAUGGAAAAUUUAAUAAGAUUCCCUCUGAUUUUGAGAAUAGCGUUAAAGAAUUUAUGAUCUCUCAAAAGAAAUUUAAUGUUUUGCUUGAAGAAAAAUUGCUUAAAGUUGAUGAAUUGGCUAGCAACGUUGAUAGACUUUUGCUUGAUGUUGAUUCUUUGAAACUUAGAUAUAUUCCACCUAAGCAUGAUAUCAAUGAGUCUCUCAAAGCCAUGAGAAUUUCCAUUGAUGAUUGCAAACAAAGAACCGCUAGAUUGCAUGCUAAGAAAGAUUGCUUUGUAAAAGUGUGUUCUUCUAGUCACCAUGAAAAUAAUGAUGAAGAUCUAAAAGUUAUUGAUGUAUCCCCUAUUAAAUCCUUGUUUUGCAAUAUGAAUCUUGAUAAUGAUGGGACUGGAGAUGAGUCAGCUUUAGUUAAAAGGCGUCCCAAUAAUUCGGAGUUUUUAGAUCUUGAUGCUAAAUUUGGUAAAAGAGGGAUUGGAGAGGUCAAGACUUUAAAUAGCAUUGAACCCACUAUUAUGGAUUUCAAGGAAUUUAAUUAUGAUAAUUUUUGUUUAAUAGAUUGUAUUUAUUUGUUGCAAUCCGUGUUGAAUUCUCCUCAUGCUUAUAGUCAAAAUAAAGCUUUUAAUUACCAAACAUAUUGUUGA
rnacentral:rRNA from 1 species